UCCCUGGCAGUCUAGUGGUUAAGACUCUACACUUCCAAUGCAGGGGACACAGUUUUGAUCCCUGGUCAGGGAA
rnacentral:tRNA from 1 species